CAUCCUCCUGUCCUUCCUCUGGGUCUAGGAGUAAGACCCCUCUGUCCUCAUCCUCCUGUCCUUCCUCUGGGUCUAGGAGUAAGACCCCUCUGCCCUCAUCCUCCUGUCCUUCCUCUGGGUCUAGGAGUAAGACCCAUCUGCCCUCAUCCUCAUGUCUUUCCUCUGGGUCUAGGAGUAAGACCCCUCUGCCCUCAUCCUCCUGUCCUUCCUCUGGGUCUAGGAGUAAGACCCCUCUGCCCUCAUCCUCCUGUCCUUCCUCUGGGUCUAGGAGUAAGACCCCUCUGUCCUCAUCCUCCUGUCCUUCCUCUGGGUCUAGGAGUAAGACCCCUCUGUCCUCAUCCUCCUGUCCUUCCUCUGGGUCUAGGAGUAAGACCCCUCUGUCCUCAUCCUCCGGCUUUCCUCUGGGUCUAGGAGUAAGGCCCCUCUGUCCUCAUCCUCCUGUCCUUCCUCUGGGUCUAGGAGUAAGACCCCUCUGUCCUCAUCCUCCUGUCCUUCCUCUGGGUCUAGGAGUAAGACCCCUCUGUCCUCAUCCUCCUGUCCUUCCUCUGGGUCUAGGAGUAAGACCCCUCUGCCCCCUUCCACUCUACUCUGUGGCAUCUUUCAUAGUUUUCACAUAGUGUAUGUCUCUCUCUUUUCCAUUGUACAUGUACAUAUAUAUUUCAUUGUAGUGUUGUCUUGGAGGAGAAGAUGUGUGCUGAUAGAAGGUUACAUGUAUAUUACAGAGGGUGUUAUGCCAUCACUAAGAACCACAUUGUAUAGUAUAUGACAGUCACAGUAAUGUAAACUGGAUCUUGACUUGUUGUUGAAGAAUCCUUUGCUUUGCCGACUGCAUUAGGAAUGUAUGAUAGUUUUCCUAAAGAAGUUCAAAGUUCAGAUUGGAAUGAUCGCCCACCUGCACUGUGUUUUGUACCACAUUCAUUUACUUCAGUUAUGAUCAGCACAUUGUUUUUGCUCUAUUCUAUUGGUAAGCAUAUUGAUAAUGGUUUACCAAUGCUUUUAGGGACACUUUAUUCUUAAAAGAAGCUAAGUCUGAAUGUAAUGUUUUAAUUCACUUACAAAACAAGCUGUGCUCUAUUUAAGCAAUAAGGCCUGAGGGGCCGUGGUAUAUUGGCCAUACACCACAAACCCCCGAGGUGCCUUAUUCUAUUAUAAACUGGUUACCAACGUAAUUAGAGCAGUAAAAUAUUUAUGUUUUGUCAUACCCGUGGUUUACGGUCUGAUAUACCACGGCUGUCAGCCAAUCAGCAUUCAGGGCUCGAACCACCCAGUUUUAAUUUCAAUUAUGCAACUGAUUGUAAUGACCACUGCAUUGAGAAAUUUGUGGGGCAUAGACCAAAAAAAAUGUCCCAAUUUUACCAAGAGCCUCAAAUUGUGAGGUAGAUUUCAAUAUCCACCAGUAGAGGGCAGUGUUUGACAGCUUAGUGCACUGCACUGUAUCUAUACUAGGCUAAUGCAGUGAUGCUGAUCAGCCAAUCAGAGAUGUUCAUGCAGUGAUCCUGGGGAACAGUGCAAUACACUCCAUAUCCAAAACACAGAAAGAGAUGGUAAAAAUGUAGGUUUUAAUGUAAGCUUUCUACUUACACUGUGGCUCCAAUUGUUUUAGUUAUUUAUCACCGUACUUGCCUCUCACCACUUGCCAAACCGCCAUUGUAAAUAAACAUGUCUUCGUAACUGACUUACCUAAUAUAAACUCAUUUUAAGUAAGGUCAUGUAAAUAAAUCUCAUCAGGAAGUGAAUUAUGUUUAAUCUGAAUGGAGAUCCAUCCCCAAGUAUGUGUUGAUAAUUCUGUCAUGCUUUUAAUUUGAUCAUCUCAGAGCAUGAUUUGGAUAUAUGUACAUAAGGUUCUAGAUGUGUGUUCCAUUUGUAAAUUAUUACAUUUUUUCAGCUUUCACCGCCAUGCCUAUAGCUGCUUACCGUAGUAUGGCUAUGGGAUAUUGUAAGACGUUCCCUCAAUGAAGGAACAGCACCACAAGGCAAAUUAGCUUUGAGAUGUUGCUUUGAACUCUGCCUGUGAACAUAUGGAUGGCUCAAAAUAAAAGCAGGAAUAUGAUUGAUUAAUGGCAAUUAUAACUGCAUGGUGUAUAAUUCAUUUUAAAUGUUUAAAUCGAAGCGAAUAAAUAAAGAUAUUUAACAAACUGUUUGUUUUUAUUGAAACUUCACUCAAGUUUACACAAGGCUCUUAGUUUGUUGAUUAACUUCUAUGGGCUACGUGGGACGUUAGCGUCCCACCUGCAGGACACAGCCAGUGAAAUAUCAGGGCGGCAAAUUCAAAAACAACAAAAUGUCAUAAUUCAACUUUCUCAAACAUUCAACUAUUUUACACAAUUUUAAAGAUACACUUCUCCUUGAUGUAACCACAUUGUCCGAUUUCAAAAAGACUUUACAGCGAAAGCAAAACAUUAGAUUAUGUUAGGAGAGUACAUAGACAAAAAUAAUCACACAGCCAUUUUCCAAGCAAGGACAUGUGUCAAUAGAACCCAAAACACAGCUAAAUGAAACACUAACCUUUGACGAUCUUCAUCAGAUGACAC
rnacentral:lncRNA from 1 species